GAUAGCCCUGAUGAACAGACUCUGGCAUGGAGAUUCAAACAUUUUCCAGCUGGUUUGGGAAUAAGAAUAAAUAGUAGCCUGAUAAUAUCUUUUGUUUUCUUGGUCUUAACCCAUGUCAAGUAAAAGGACCCCAGUGGGAAUAAAUAUUUAUUGAUUUAUUUUUUGAGAUGGAGUCUCUCUCUGUCACCAGGCUGGAGUGUGUAGUAGCACGAUCUCAGCUCAGUGCAACCUCCGCCUCCCAGGUUCAAGCAAUUCUCCUGCCUCAGCCUCCCAAGUAGCUGGGACUAUAGGCACGUGCCACCAUGCCCAGCUCAUUUUUGUAUUUUUAGUAGAGACAGGGUUUCACCGUGUUGGCCAGGAUGGUCUCGGUCUCUUGACCUCGUGAUCCACCCACCUCAGUCUCCCAAAGGACUGAGAUUACAGGCGUGAGCCACUGUUCCCGGCCUGGGACUAAAUUUCUUAGUUGCCUGUGAGCAGUGUACAAAUUCAAAUUUGUGCACCUAUUCAUGGCUGGAAUUCCAAGGAAAGGGUCCAUGUAAGGACUGUCUGUGGACAAGGCAUGUUGAUUCAUAAUGUUAAUAAUGAGAGCUCACAUUUAUUCACUAUGUGCCAGACAGUAUGCUGUAUUUCAUUUAAUUCCCAUAAACAAUUAAAUUCCCAUAAGGAAUAAUUCCUAUUUUCACAGGUGAGGAAAAGGAGACUCAGAGAAGAUGAGUUGUUACUUGAGUUUAUGAGAUUUAUGAAUGAGAGAACUAGGACUUGGACCCAUAUCUGUGUGAUGCCAAAACUGGUACAGUCAUGUUCUACUGUUCCCCUCUCCAUCUCAGCAUCACAGAAUCACUGGUUGGACUCAUGACAUCUCAGAGGAAGAAAGAUCCUAGAGGCCAUCGGUCUGGUUUCACUCCUGUCAGCGUUGGGGAGAAAACCUAAGGCAUGCAUUUCCAGUAACCAAUCAUUUGCAGAGCAGAGUCUUGCUCUUUUGCCCAGGCUGGAGUGCAAUGGCGCAAUCUCGGCUCACCGCAACCUCUAUCUCCCAGAUUUGAGCAAUUCUCCUGCCUCAGUUCUCCCAAGUAUCUGGGAUUACAGGUGUGUGCCACCAUGCCCAGCUAAUGUUUUUUUGUAUUUUUCGUAGAGAUGGGGUUUUACCAUGUUGGCCAGGCUGCUCUUGAACUCCUGACCUCAAGUGAUCCACCCACUUUGGCCUCCCAAAGUGCUGGGAUUACAGGCGUGAGCCACCAUGCCCAGCUACUUUUAUAUUUUGAAUGAAGGUUUAAAAUAAUAUAAUUAAUAUUUUGUAAUAUCAAUUUCAUUUUUUAAUUUGUAAACUUUUGGACUUUUAACAUAGUACUAUAGAUUUCUGCAUGAGCCAACUUACUCCAAUAAAUUUGGUAGAGAUGUUAUUAUAAUGUAUUAUGUUAAAUAAUAAUAAUAAUAAACGGAUUUUUAUUUUAAAAUGUAGUCAGUCCAUAGGAAUGUAUUGCUGUAUGUAAGGAACUGUGCUAGAUACCAUGGUAAUAUUGUUUGGCUCUGUGUCACCACCCAAAUUUCAUCUUAAAUUGUAAUCCUCACUUGUCCGGGGAGGGGCUUGCUGGGAGGUGAUUGAAUCAUGGAGGUGGAUUUCCCCCUUGCUGUUCUUGUGAUAGUGAGUGAGUUCUCACGAGAUCUGGUUGUUUGAAAGUGUGUAGCACUUCCCUCUUCACUCGUUCUUCUCCUUUGCCGUGGUAAGACGUGCCUGCUUCCCCUUCACUUUCUGCAUUGAUUGUAAGUUUCCUGAGGCCUCCUAGUCAUGCUUCCUGUUAAGCCUGCAGAACUGUGAGUCAAACCUCUUUUCUUCAUAAAUUACCCAGUCUCAGGUGGUUCUUUACAGCAGCGUGAGAAUGGAUUAAUACACAUGGGCAUCAGAUGUUUAGAACAUUAACGAUCCUCCUCUGUGUUCCUACAGCAGAGAUCCAUAUUGAGACUUGAAUACGACUUGUUCAUGGUGAUCUUGGACAGGAAAGGGCUGGAGCCCUCUCAGCAGCACCUGCCCUUUAAGUCUUUCCCGUGGUAGUGCUGAAGUUUAUUUCAGUCAGUCUCUUUGUCACUGUCUCUGUCUCUCUCCCCCUUCCAACCCAUGGGACGAGUCGAGCUGGAGGUUUCUCAGUGUGAAGCUAUUUGGCCCAUUGAGAGAUUAAAUCUAGAUUCUUAGGCUUCCUAGUGCCUUUCUUUAGCCAACUGGACUCGGCAGUUUGAAAGUAAACGCGAAUUGUUAAUCAUUUGAAGUAGCUUUCUCCAGUGGGAUCACAGAAGGGAAGAUGGCUUGCUGACUGGUGCAAUUCUCACAGCGUGAGCUUUGAUCCUCAGUUUAGAAGCAAACCAAGUCUGGGCAUUAUCGGGCUGAUACAUAUCCCGUCAUGUUCUAGGGUAUGGCUUGGUGGGCAACAUGCCCCAUGACCUAGUCUACUUCACAAUAACAUGCAUUUAUUAAGAGUUAACAGUACCUAUGGAUUACAAAGCCACUGAUGCAAAAGUGUGAACCACAAACCUAUUGCUAGGUGGCAACCAAAAGGCUACCAUGGUGACUAGUGAGGAAAAGCUUGUCUUCCUCUGAAAAUAUGUGUUCUAUGGGUUAGCCAGCUGGAAGUUUAGAGCACCUUGAAAAGUAAAUCAGCUGAUGGCCUUUGUUAGCUCAAAGCAGAGGGUUUUCCUUAUGUUUUUAACUAAUAAAGCUUAACUGUCACAAGAAAUACAUAUGUCCAGAAAAGCAUUUACUUUUUAGUGAAUUCAGAAUUGCUAAGUUACAGUAUUGAGAUAGGUCCAGUAUGCACAAUAGUCUGAAUAUUUGAUAGGCCUUAAAGUUAAAAGAUGAGAGUCAAAGGGGCCCAUUAGCCAAUGUCCACAUUCUGAAUAGUAAACACGCAGCCCACUUACUCCUGUCCUUCUCCUUCUGUGUUCAAACAACUUCCUAAUCCAUCUAGGUGCUCUUUCCUGAGCCCAGGUGUGGCUUCAGAACCUCUCUCAACAUAAGACUCAAAGUCAAGUGAUAGGAAUUAGCUCUUGAGAUGAAAUUUAUCUAUCAGCUCUGAUACAGGUAGCUUCAUUCAAGAAAAUUUCAGCACACUACUUUCUUUUUUCUUUGUCUACACUGGUUUGUUUAUAU
rnacentral:lncRNA from 1 species